rnacentral:rRNA from 1 species
UGAACGCUAGCGGCAGGCCUAAUACAUGCAAGUCGAACGGUAACAGGGUAGCAAUACCGCUGACGAGUGGCGCACGGGUGCGUAACGCGUAUGCAACUUACCUUUAACUGGGAGAUAGCCCCUCGAAAGAGGGAUUAAUACCCCAUAGUAUAAUGAGGAAGCAUUUCUUUAUUAUUAAAGCUCAGGCGGUUAAAGAUGGGCAUGCGUUGCAUUAGCUUGUUGGUGAGGUAAUGGCUCACCAAGGCUACGAUGCAUAGGGGAUCUGAGAGGACUAACCCCCACACUGGUACUGAGACACGGACCAGACUCCUACGGGAGGCAGCAGUAAGGAAUAUUGGUCAAUGGACGCAAGUCUGAACCAGCCAUGCCGCGUGCAGGAUGACGGCCCUAUGGGUUGUAAACUGCUUUUAUACGGGAAAAAACCCUUGCUCGUGAGCGAGGUUGAUGGUACUGUAAGAAUAAGGAUCGGCUAACUCCGUG